GAUGAACGCUGGCGGCGUGCCUAAUACAUGCAAGUCGAGCGAACGGACGAGAAGCUUGCUCUUCUGAUGUUAGCGGCGGACGGGAGAGUAACACGUGGAUAACCUACCUAUAAGACUGGGAUAACUUUGGGAAACCGGAGCUAAUACCGGAUAAUAUUUUGAACCGCAUGGUUCAAAAGUGAAAGACGGUCUUGCUGUCACUUAUAGAUGGAUCCGCGCUGCAUUAGUUGGUUGGUAAGGUAACGGCUUACCAAGGCAACGAUGCAUAGACGACCUGAGAGGGUGAUCGGCCACACUGUCACUGAGACACGGUCCAGACUCCUACGGGAGGCAGCAGUAGGGAAUCUUCCGCAAUGGGCGAAAGCCUGACGGAGCAACGCCGCGUGAGUGAUGAAGGUCUUCGGAUCGUAAAACUCUGUUAUUAGGGAAGAACAUAUGUGUAAGUAACUGUGAACAUCUUGACGGUACCUAAUCAGAAAGCCACGGCUAACUCCGUG
rnacentral:rRNA from 1 species